UAAUUCGAUGCAACGCGAAGAACCUUACCUGGUCUUGACAUAUCUAGAAUCCUGCAGAGAUGCGGGAGUGCCUUCGGGAAUUAGAAUACAGGUGCUGCAUGGCUGUCGUCAGCUCGUGUCGUGAGAUGUUGGGUUAAGUCCCGCAACGAGCGCAACCCUUGUCCUUAGUUACCAGCGGUUUGGCCGGGAACUCUAAGGAUACUGCCAGUGACAAACUGGAGGAAGGCGGGGACGACGUCAAGUCAUCAUGGCCCUUACGACCAGGGCUACACACGUGCUACAAUGGUAGGUACAGAGGGCAGCUACACAGCGAUGUGAUGCGAAUCUCAAAAAGCCUAUCGUAGUCCAGAUUGGAGUCUGCAACUCGACUCCAUGAAGUAGGAAUCGCUAGUAAUCGCGGAUCAGAAUGCCGCGGUGAAUACGUUCCCGGGCCUUGUACACACCGCCCGUCACACCAUGGGAGUUGAUUGCACCAGAAGUGGGUAGCCUAACCUUUUAGGAUGGCGCUCACCACGGUGUGGUUGAUGACUGGGGUGAAGUCGUAACAAGGUAACCGUA
rnacentral:rRNA from 1 species